GAAGCUAUAGUUCCAUGGUAGAGAGCAUGCUUAACAUGCAUGAGGUCCUGGGUUCAAUCCCCAGUGCCUCCA
rnacentral:tRNA from 1 species